rnacentral:rRNA from 1 species
GACGAACGCUGGCGGCGUGCUUAACACAUGCAAGUCGAACGGUGAAGCGCCUUCCUUUUUGGUGGGUGUGGAUGAGUGGCGAACGGGUGAGUAACACGUGAGUAACCUGCCCCCUUCUUCUGGAUAACCGCAUGAAAGUGUGGCUAAUACGGGAUAUUCUGGGUCUGUCGCAUGAUGGGUCUGGGAAAGAUAUUGUUUCGGUGGGGGAUGGGCUCGCGGCCUAUCAGCCUGUUGGUGGGGUGAUGGCCUACCAAGGCGGUGACGGGUAGCCGGCCUGAGAGGGUGGACGGUCACACUGGGACUGAGACACGGCCCAGACUCCUACGGGAGGCAGCAGUGGGGAAUAUUGCACAAUGGGCGCAAGCCUGAUGCAGCGACGCCGCGUGAGGGAUGGAGGCCUUCGGGUUGUGAACCUCUUUCGCCAGUGAAGCAGGCCUGCCUCGUUUGUGGGUGGGUUGACGGUGGCUGGAUAAGAAGCGCCGGCUAACUACGUG